ensembl:lncRNA
GCGAGGCAAGGCGAUGCAGUGCGGAGCAAAGCAGGGCAAGGCGAAGCGAGGCGGGGCAGGGCGAGACGAGGCGGGGCGAGGCGGGGCAGGGCGAGACGAGGCGGGGCGAGGCGGGGGGGGGCUAUGUGUUGCGAGGUGGGAGAGGCGGGGCGAGGUGGAGCGAGGUGGGGUGAGGUGGGGCGAAACGAGGCGUGGCAGGUGAGGUGGGGCCAGGCAGGGUGAGGCUAGGUGGGAUGGGGCGAGGCGGGGCGGGGCGAGGCGGGGCAAGGCGAGGCGAUGCGGGGUGGGUCGAGGUGUGGCGGGGCGAGUAGGGGCGAGGCGGGGCAAGGCGAGGCGUGUCAGGCGAGGCGGGGCAGGGCUAGGCGAGGCGUGGCAAGGCGGGACGGGGCAAGACAGGGCAAGGUUGGGUGAGGCGGGGCCUGGCGGGGUGAGGCGAAUUGUGGCAGGCGAAGUGGGG